rnacentral:piRNA from 1 species
UCUUGUGAUAUUUUGGGGAAGAAUGGAAC